rnacentral:rRNA from 1 species
CCUACGGGUGGCUGCAGUGGGGAAUAUUGCACAAUGGGCGAAAGCCUGAUGCAGCCAUACCGCGUGUGUGAAGAAGGCCUUCGGGUUGUAAAGCACUUUCGUUAGGGAAGAAAGGUGCGAGGUUAAUAACCUCGUACUGUGACGGUACCUAAAUAAGAAGCACCGGCUAACUCCGUGCCAGCAGCCGCGGUAAUACGGAGGGUGCAAGCGUUAAUCGGAAUCACUGGGCGUAAAGCGCGCGUAGGCGGCUUGGUAAGUCAGAUGUGAAAGCCCCGGGCUCAACCUGGGAAUUGCAUUUGAUACUGUUAUGCUUGAAUUAGGUUGAGGUUGGCGGAAUGUGACAUGUAGCGGUGAAAUGCAUAGAUAUGUCAUAGAACAUCGAUUGCGAAGGCAGCUGGCUAGACCUUAAUUGACGCUGAGGCACGAAAGCGUGGGGAGCG